GGGCCCAUAGCUCAGCGGUUAGAGCAGUCGGCUCAUAACUGAUUGGUCGCUGGUUCGAUCCCAGCUGGGCCCA
rnacentral:tRNA from 1 species